rnacentral:rRNA from 1 species
UACAGAGGGUGCAAGCGUUGUUCGGAAUUAUUGGGCGUAAAGCGCGUGUAGGCGGCCUUGCAAGUCGGGUGUGAAAGCCCUCAGCUCAACUGAGGAAGUGCGCCCGAAACUGCAGAGCUUGAGUACCGGAGAGGAUGGCGGAAUUCCCCAAGUAGAGGUGAAAUUCGUAGAUAUGGGGAGGAACACCGGUGGCGAAGGCGGCCAUCUGGACGGCCACUGACGCUGAGACGCGAAAGCGUGGGUAGCAAACAGG